UUCCGAAUGUUGAGUCAGAAUCUCCUUUCUUGCAACUUGAAGCCAUUGGUUCAAGUCCUACCCUUCAGAGCAGGAAAAAACAAGCUUACUCCCUCCUUAAGAUAUUUGAAAAUGGCUAUCAUAUCUCCUCUCUGUCUCCUCUUUUCCAGGCUAAACUUACCCAGCUCCUUCGA